rnacentral:lncRNA from 1 species
CUGCCUCCCCACCCUCUCUCUAUCUCUCUCUAUCUGCUUUCCCCUCUCUCUAGAACAAAACUGCCGCCCCUCUAUCAUUUUCCCACUCCGAUGGACGGUUGCUGUCGCCGCCCCACCAUUUUUCUUCCUCAUCUCUUUCCUCCGUCUCCCAGCCACCGGUCAUCAGUACUGCCACUAUCGCACCGUCGUCGUCGCUCUUCACUUCUAUCACUGCCUCCGUGUCACCAGCUGUCAUACAACACCGCCGGACGCCGACCAACUCGUCUCCCUCUUCACGCUAUUAGUCGCCUCCUUUCCCAACGGCACCAACGACGAUAAUACUAUCACCAUCCGACGACACCAGUCAACAACCAAGGAAACCCAUCGCCCCCCGUUAUCUGCAUCUCUACCACUGGUCAGCCUCAAAACCCUUCUCCCAUUACCAUUUUACGACCAUGCAGUCACAAGUUUAUAUUAUUUUGCCUCACCGGAGGUCAUGACUGGUGAGGUAUCAAUUGGUAACCCCUCUAACUAUGUUUGAUCAAUAGACACCAUCACAGGUUCCGUCCAUUAUUAAUUUUAUAUUAGUCUUUGUUUAAUCUUACUCUCCGUGAUCUAAAAUCGACUAACACGGCUGAUGUUAUUGAUUUUGAUAUUGAUUUCUGUGAUUCGGGCUCACUGGAUCUCACAUACAUGAAGUUGGUGAUACUUAACUAGGCUACUAGUUGUUUUUCUAACUCUUGGAAUCAUUAUAUUUUGUUUGAUUGGUUUGACAUUGAUAAACUGUACACUUAGUGUUGGAAAAAAUGAUUAACCUUGUUUUUACUCUUGACUAAAGAUUAUGGAACUGAUUGCACAUGUAAUUUGGAUGACUUGAUUAUUUGAAUUGAUUGGAUGCAUAAUCAACAUUAGUGAUUAACGAACAUGCUUAUAUGAUUAGCCACCUUUAUAUUUUUAUUUUAUUUUAUUCUUUUACGGUAAUUAGCAGUCCUUUCUCACAACAUCAGACGUGUUUCAUAUGCCUAUUUGUGGUAACCACAUAAUUGGUGUGCCCGAUCAAAAUAAAAUUGAUUUGUUUAACGAAUGUUUUCCUUUUAUUUGUUGUCACGACCCGAAUCGGGGCCCUGGCCAUGACGGACAUCCCGAACCAUGAAGGCCCAAGAGCCCUUCUAACUUGUAAUCAU